rnacentral:rRNA from 1 species
GACGAACGCUGGCGGCGUGCUUAACACAUGCAAGUCGAACGGAAAGGCCCUGCUUGCAGGGUACUCGAGUGGCGAACGGGUGAGUAACACGUGGGUGAUCUGCCCUGCACUUCGGGAUAAGCCUGGGAAACUGGGUCUAAUACCGGAUAGGAGCCAUUUUGAGUGUGAUGGUUGGAAAGUUUUUUCGGUGUAGGAUGAGCUCGCGGCCUAUCAGCUUGUUGGUGGGGUAAUGGCCUACCAAGGCGGCGACGGGUAGCCGGCCUGAGAGGGUGGACGGCCACAUUGGGACUGAGAUACGGCCCAGACUCCUACGGGAGGCAGCAGUGGGGAAUAUUGCACAAUGGGCGCAAGCCUGAUGCAGCGACGCCGCGUGGGGGAGGACGGCCUUCGGGUUGGAAACUCCUUUCGCUAGGGACGAAGCUUUUUGUGACGGUACCUAGAUAAGAAGCACCGGCUAACUACGUG